AUUGAACGCUGGCGGCAGGCUUAACACAUGCAAGUCGAGCGAGCGGCGGACGGGUGAGUAAUGUCUGGGAAACUGCCUGAUGGAGGGGGAUAACUACUGGAAACGGUAGCUACUACCGCAUACCAUCAGAUGUGCCCAUAUGGGAUUAGCUAGUAGGUGGGGUAAAGGCUCACCAAGGCGACGAUCCCUAGCUGGUCUGAGAGGAUGACCAGCAACACGGGAACUGAGACACGGGCCAGACUCCUACGGGAGGCAGCAGUGGGGAAGAUUGGACAAUGGGCGCAAGCCUGAUGAAGCCAUGCCGAGUGUGUGAAGAAGGCCGUCGGGUUGUAAAGCACUUUGAGCGGGGAGGCGUUACUCGCAGAAGAAGCACCGGCUAACUACGUGCGAGCCGCGGCGGUAAUUC
rnacentral:rRNA from 1 species